GAUCCUGGCUCAGGAUGAACGCUGGCGGCGUGCUUAAUACAUGCAAGUCGAACGAAGCACCUCUCCCGAAGACAGACCCAGCUUGCUGGGGAUUGAUUCAUUUGAGGUGACUGAGUGGCGGACGGGUGAGUAACGCGUGGGUAACCUGCCUUAUACAGGGGGAUAACAGUUGGAAACGACUGCUAAUACCGCAUAAGCGCACAGUACCGCAUGGUACGGUGUGAAAAACUCCGGUGGUAUAAGA
rnacentral:rRNA from 1 species